rnacentral:rRNA from 1 species
CCUACGGGCGGCAGCAGUGGGGAAUCUUGCGCAAUGGGGGAAACCCUGACGCAGCAACGCCGCGUGGGUGAUGAAGGCCUUCGGGUCGUAAAGCCCUGUCAGGUGGGAAGAAACUUAUGGAUGUAAACACCAUCCAUGCUUGACGGUACCACCGGAGGAAGCACCGGCUAACUCCGUGCCAGCAGCCGCGGUAAUACGGAGGGUGCAAGCGUUGUUCGGAAUUAUUGGGCGUAAAGCGCGUGCAGGCGGUUGGGUAAGUCAGAUGUGAAAGCCUUUCGCUUAACGGAAGAAGUGCAUUUGAGACUGCUCGGCUGGAGUACGGGAGAGGAGAGUGGAAUUCCCGGUGUAGAGGUGAAAUUCGUAGAUAUCGGGAGGAACACCAGUGGCGAAGGCGGCUCUCUGGUCCGAUACUGACGCUGAGACGCGAAAGCGUGGGGAGCAAACAGGAUUAGAUACCCUGGUAGUC